CCUUCUUUUUCAGUUCUGUCCUUAAAGCACAGCAUCAUAAGUAGCAAUGGCAGAAUUAAGGACACCUUGCCAGGAAUAUGGGCAGGGCUAAUAAAUGUUGUGCCGAGGAUAUGGCCAUGGUCUGAUGUUGGGAAACAUUUAUUUAUUAAGCCAGGUUAUAGAAAUAUGUAAGGCCUUUUUGACAGCCCCCCAGGUUCAGAUGAUGCAAAGCUUAUUGAUAUAUUUUAUCCCGGAGAUCAGCAGUCUGUGACAUUUGGAACCAAGUCUAGAGUGGGAAUGGGUGGCAUGGAAGCCAAGGUGAAAGCAGCCCUCUGGGCUUUGCAAGGUGGCACUUCUGUUGUUAUUGCCAAUGGAACCCACCCAAAGGUGUCUGGGCACGUCAUCACAGACAUUGUGGAGGGGAAGAAAGUUGGUACCUUCUUUUCAGAAGUAAAGCCUGCAGGCCCUACUGUUGAGCAGCAGGGAGAAAUGGCUCGAUCUGGAGGAAGGAUGUUGGCCACCUUGGAACCUGAGCAGAGAGCAGAAAUUAUCCAUCAUCUGGC
rnacentral:sRNA from 1 species